rnacentral:rRNA from 1 species
AGAGUUUGAUCCUGGCUCAAAAUCAACGCUGGCGGCGUGCCUAACACAUGCAAGUCGAACGCGAAAGCCCCGCAGGGGGUGAGUAGAGUGGCAAACGGGUGAGUAACACGUGGGUGACCUGCCUUCGAGUGGGGGAUAACGUCCCGAAAGGGACGCUAAUACCGCAUGACAUCCUGCCUUUGGAGAGGCGGAGAUCAAAGCUGGGGAUCGCAAGACCUGGCGCUUGGAGAGGGGCCCGCGCCUGAUUAGCUAGUUGGUGGGGUAAUGGCUCACCAAGGCGACGAUCAGUAUCCGGCCUGAGAGGGCGGACGGACACACCGGGACUGAGACACGGCCCACACUCCUACGGGAGGCAGCAGUGGGGAAUUGUUCGCAAUGGGCGCAAGCCUGACGACGCAACGCCGCGUGGAGGACGAAUAUCUUCGGGUCGUAAACUCCUGUCGAGCGGGAAGAAGGCUCUGUGGGUGAAUAGCCUGCGGAAUUGACGGUACCGCUAAAGGAAGCCCCGGCUAACUCCGUGCCAGCAGCCGCGGUAAUAAGGGGGGGGGGCAAGCGUUGUUCAGAAUUACUGGCGUAAAGGGCUCGUAGGCGGCCAACUAAGUCAGAUGUGACAUCCCCAGGCUCAACCUGAGAACU